rnacentral:sRNA from 1 species
AUAAGCUAACAACAAGCAAAUAAUUUUCAUACUUUCCCUUAAGAAUGAAAAUCCCAAACUCCCUUUUUGACCAUCGCGGUUACUCCCUUUUCCGCGGUGGUUUUUUA